UGACUGCGUACCUUUUGUAUAAUGGGUCAGCGACUUAUAUUCUGUAGCAAGGUUAACCGAAUAGGGGAGCCGGAGGGAAACCGAGUCUUAACCGGGCGUUAAGUUGCAGGGUAUAGACCCGAAACCCGGUGAUCUAGCCAUGGGCAGGUUGAAGGUUGGGUAACACUAACUGGAGGACCGAACCGACUAAUGUUGAAAAAUUAGCGGAUGACCUGUGGCUGGGGGUGAAAGGCCAAUCAAACCGGGAGAUAGCUGGUUCUCCCCGAAAGCUAUUUAGGUAGCGCCUCGUGAAUUCAUCUCCGGGGGUAGAGCACUGUUUCGGCUAGGGGGCCAUCCCGGCUUACCAACCCGAUGCAAACUGCGAAUACCGGAGAAUGUUAUCACGGGAGACACACGGCGGGUGCUAACGUCCGUCGUGAAGAGGGAAACAACCCAGACCGCCAGCUAAGGUCCCAAAGUCAUGGUUAAGUGGGAAACGAUGUGGGAAGGCCCAGACAGCCAGGAUGUUGGCUUAGAAGCAGCCAUCAUUUAAAGAAAGCGUAAUAGCUCACUGGUCGAGUCGGCCUGCGCGGAAGAUGUAACGGGGCUAAACCAUGCACCGAAGCUGCGGCAGCGACGCUGAUGCGUUGUUGGGUAGGGGAGCGUUCUGUAAGCCUGCGAAGGUGGCCUGUGAGGGUUGCUGGAGGUAUCAGAAGUGCGAAUGCUGACAUAAGUAACGAUAAAGCGGGUGAAAAGCCCGCUCGCCGGAAGACCAAGGGUUCCUGUCCAACGUUAAUCGGGGCAGGGUGAGUCGACCCCUAAGGCGAGGCCGAAAGGCGUAGUCGAUGGGAAACGGGUUAAUAUUCCCGUACUUGGUGUUACUGCGAAGGGGGGACGGAGAAGGCUAUGUUGGCCGGGCGACGGUU
rnacentral:rRNA from 1 species